rnacentral:rRNA from 1 species
UACGUAGGGUGCAAGCGUUGUCCGGAAUUAUUGGGCGUAAAGAGCUCGUAGGCGGCUUGUCGCGUCGGCUGUGAAAACCUGGGGCUCAACCCCGGGCCUGCAGACGAUACGGGCAAGCUAGAAUUCGGUAGGGGAGACUGGAAUUCCUGGUGUAGCGGUGAAAUGCGCAGAUAUCGAGGAGGAACACCGGUAGGCGGAAGGCGGGGUCUCUUGGGCCGAUAUUGACGCUGGAGGAGCGAAAGCGUGGGGAGCGAACAGG